rnacentral:rRNA from 1 species
UACGUAGGGUGCGAGCGUUAAUCGGAAUUACUGGGCGUAAAGCGUGCGCAGGCGGUUGAUUAAGUCUGAUGUGAAAGCCCCGGGCUCAACCUGGGAAUGGCAUUGGAAACUGGUCAGCUGGAGUGUGGCAGAGGGGGGUGGAAUUCCGCGUGUAGCAGUGAAAUGCGUAGAGAUGCGGAGGAACACCGAUGGCGAAGGCAGCCCCCUGGGCCAACACUGACGCUCAUGCACGAAAGCGUGGGGAGCAAACAGG